rnacentral:lncRNA from 1 species
AAAUGUUGACACUUUUCACUGGUUUGAACGGAAUUCGAUCAUACAUUGAAUUGACUUUUGACCUCAAAGGGACAGAAAACACCGAGUCUAAGGAGACGUUUUAACCUUGAAGAAUUUUGAUGUUGCUCAUCAUGUCAAUUGCGCGCCUUUCGAAUCACUGAUUUGAAUAUUAUCGCGACAAGGUCUACAUUAUUUUUUAUCAGCCCUCGUACCGCGACAAUUUCUGAGUAAGUGUACACUCAAUGCAAAGUUCAAGUUAAAGCGGUCAUUUCACCCGCAAAGAUUGCGAGUUAAUCGCAUUGACACACAAUUUCGAGUUUCACAGAUAAAAGGUAAGGUUAGAUUUCCCGGAAACACAAAUUUAAGAAACGAAAGAGAACUUUCGAAGGGAAAAUACCCAUUCUUUCUCAAAGUUCUGCUAUCUUGAGUUAUUUGCCUAAAGUGCCAUUGACGUCAACUCACUGCAAAUAUUUUUGUUUGUUGUUGUUUGAUUUUUUUUUUGUAAAAUUAAAGACCCACCUCAGAAUAAAUGUAUUCCUUUUUUUUGUUGUAUAUGAUACGAAUUAAAAAUUGAGGAGAAAAAAAACAAGAAUCUAGUUACAAAUUGACAGUCACGUUUAUUAGGCAAGGACAAUGUGUUAAAUGUCGUAAUAUUUUUCUGAAUUAAUGUAGCAGUAUGCACAGUACUUUAUGUAUUUAGUUAAGUUUAGAUCACACUUUGUUUUUACUGUGUCAGAUAGUUAUUUAACUUUGGUUUUAAACUAAGCUGAAAGAGACUGGCUGUAUAUGUUUGCAAUUGUGAAAAGUCAUAAACUCAGGAAAGGCCUAACUUGUCCACCUGUCGUCUUGUAGAAUAGCUGUAAUACAAGUAUUAUAAAAAUGAUUUUCAUGGAGUUUAUGUGGGAUGAGUGUGGAAGUAGUUCUCUAUGUUGCGAUGGGUCUUUAAGCAAUUUGUAUUUUUCAUUCCCUGGUUGUGUUGACUUAGUAAAACAAGAAAGAGACAAGACAAGAUGAACGUGAAUUGUAUACAGAAUGUAUUAACUGAAAUACAAUACUUGGUACUGGUUCCAGAUUCAUCAACAUUUUGAGUCAGAGAUUCAUACCUAGAAAAAACACAAGUUGCCGUAACUUUAUUAAAAUGCUUUAUACUGCUGAAAAUAUUUAGACAUUUUGUUAUGGUAUAUAUGGAUUUACACAUCGCGCGAUCCUUAGCAAUAGAAGUAAAUUUUCACGCAUGCGCACUCUACGUAAGGCUAAAAGUACUAUCAGCAAACAAAGUUUCGCGAAAAGCUCUACUCAUUUCUUUGGUGGUGAUUUCUGAGAGCGUUAACACAGACGUGAAAGGUAGAAAAAACUGCUGAUUUGCGUUUCGAGACGAAGACUCACGAAACACUUCAGACGAAGUAACGAAACUUGGCAAACAAACAAACAAACAAAAAAACCUGACACGAACAACUUUCUACUGGCAAACGUGUCGGCGAGUUUAAAAUGUGGUGUCGCCGUAUAUUUGACGUGUCGUCGUGUCUUCGAACCGAGCGCACGAUUAAACGAUAGAACACGAUACACCGGACAGCAAAGCCGCGUUGAAGUUUUGAUCACUGAUACGGACCCCGUCUUUUUAAGCGGCAAGAAAACUGCCAUUAGUAUGUCCAAAAAGUAUAGUGCGUUCACUUCCGCGAAGUGUUUUCCUGUUUCUGUUUUUACGUUUACGCGAUAGAUUGAUAUUUUUGCCACUUGAUGUCACUCUGACGUGUAUGUUUGGCAAUAAACGUAAAUCUAACUCACCAAUAAACAAUAAAACGACCGAUUUUUUUGCCUUGACAUCGCAUAAAAUCGAUUAUUUUUACUUGUUCUCCCGGUGCGGAAUUCGAAGAAUCUCGCGUCAGUUAAAGACUUGUAACAUGUAUCUAUUUAGACAUGUCAAAGGUUCCGCAUAUUAAGAGCCACUUUGCCGUAACAAACGUGUUUGACAAGAGUUAGGUCACCAGAAUGAUCCUUGUUUUGACGUUACAUCAUGUUAGCAGAUAAAACAGUAUGACAAUUUGAAAUUACUUUUAAACAGUUAACGGGCGGCUUAAUUGCAUUGUUUAUGACUUCGGCGGUAAAAAAAAGAUGACCCGUAUUUUUCAGGAAGUCAGUGUUUUAUUGCGGAUUGUUUUAUCAAAUUGUGUUAUUUUAACAUUGUGCUUGAUAUAAUGUUUUAAUUCAAAUGGAACUGAUUUCGGUGAUAGCUUUGUGCAUAUUUCUGCUUGAAAAAGCGGCGGAUGGUAUGUCUUUAAAUACACACGGUCCUAUGGAUCAGGUUAUACAGCUCCGGCUUCUCGAAUACACAAAAGGAAGUUCUCUCGUAGAGGGACUGGUUUUGGCGGGAACAAUUGUCGAGGGAGGUCCAGUCUUUGGAAGAUCUCGUCGAAUUCUCGGAGGACGAACGGUACAUCCGGGUCUCCAACUUCUGAAUUUCGCUUUCAGUAUAGAACAAUGUCCAAAAUUUACUUUCGGAUACCAUUGUAAAAACUGGGUUUCACCAGAAUGUGCAGUAACUAGACAUCUGAUGUUCCGAAUGAAAUUGUGUACAUGUAAAGUUGAUGUUUGCUGAUGUUUGGAAAACCGUGUACAUAAGCAACUUUGUUGUGGAUGUGGCUAACGCAUUCCGGUCCAAACACAUCUUCGUUGGGGACAUAGUGUAGGUACAAUUUUGUUGGAAGUUAUGUUGACACUAAGAGAUUGUUUACUUUUUCGUAUCUCCCUUGUAAGUUUUAGACUGUCUUACAGUCUGUUUGUAUGCGCAGUGUAAUUGUUAGUUUGUGCCAUUGUGGAUUUUGAAGGGUCCGGAAAGUCGAAAUGAAUGGCGCAAUUCCAAAUAUCAGCCUGUUCAAUAAUAGUGUCAUAUGGUGCCAGAACGUGCCCACUAACUAUAGACAUUUUUGUAACCGCAUUGAGGUUUCGUUUCGUUGCUGUUUCUGGAAGAAACAAGUUCGUUCUUUUACUUUCUUAUUUUCGUGUAUUUGUUAAUUGUUAAUAAAACAGGAUGUAUUCGCGCCACGGCGUACGUUU